UAUGGGUGGAGCUGAUUAAUUAAUGUGGGUGCGAUGCACAGGUGGUGAGUAAAUGAGAUCGUCUUUGUCUGUGAACUGUGGUGGAGGUAUAGCCACACAGCACAUGUUUUUUUUAUCCUAUUUAAGUCAUUUCACAAGAGUUUUUGAUCUUAAUUUUGGAUCUGUUGUGGAAAAAAGUGGAAACUGUUCGUGAAUAAACAGAGAAAUCAAACGAAACGACGGAUCCAUGACUAUAUUUUGAAGUGGACACGCAUCAGGAACAAACAGUUUGUUUUGCCCGUUCACCUUGCAGACCACAGCUACUGUCACAGAGGGAGAAUCUCUGCACGCCGUGCAGAAAGUGACAGGAAGCCCAGAGCAUCCUGCAGGGACCAACAGCAGCACUCUGCUCAUCCUCCCAGACCGGCCCAGAAGAGGAAGAGGACCUCUGCGGACCGUCCUUCCACAUCUUCUGCCGAACAUCUGGUCCCGAG